GCUCCGGAUCUGCUGUGCGGAUCCCGGGCAGGCGGGCGAGCCGCUCUAGGCGACAUUGGGCGGGAAGCCGCCCCGGGGCGCUGUCUCUCUGCACCUGGACGGCCUAUUUUCCCAGCCUCCCGCUUUGUCCCUGUAGGUUUGGUCAACUCAGUGUGUGUCAAUGGGAAAAACCGAGAUCAUCCCCUCAAAGUAGAGAUAGCCAGAGUGAGGCCACAGCGAUUUUAUUUGGAGAAUGAAGGGCAGAACCACAGAGAUCUCAGGAGGGAGGGCAAAGGUAACUCAUCGUCAUCCACAGAGAGGGGACUCAGGAUUACGCUGUGCGUCCAGGCCAUCUUCCCUCCCAGCCCAGCCUUGGCACAAGUCGGCCCCAGGAUCAUCAUGUGAUAGAGCCUGAAGCCUGUCUCCCCAAGUCCCUGGAAAGUAGACAUCUGUGACAAUCCUCCCGAAUCCCAGGGCACAGGGAGCAUGGCUGAGCACGCCAGACUGCCUGGGCUCAAAUUCUGUCCUGCCAUGAACUGCCUGGGUGUCUUUGGACAAGUCAUUUGACAGCUCUGAGCCUCCGCCUUCUCAUCUGAGGACAACAGGAAUAAUGAGGGUACCCACCUCAUGGGGAUGUGAUGAGGCUUAAAGAAGAAAAUGCAUGCAAAGUUUUAGCACAGUACCUGGCAGUGAGUAUAUGUGCAAUAAUAUUAAUUAUUACUAUUUUAUCAAGAGGCCUGGAUUCUGGUCCCAGUUCUGCCACUGUUUUCCCUCCCUGGGCCUGCUUGAGUUUCUGUCUAUAAAGUAGGUGUUAAUUGAUUAAAUGAGAUAAUGGAUGCCAAA